AGCAGGAGGAAGGGCAGGAAUCCCUUGAGGAAAUUGAGCAGUUGCUUUAUCCUCCUAUGCAGAAGAUCUAGAGCUGCCACCAUCUGCCUUCUCAGUUUUGGGUUCAUAACAUAUUUUAUAUAACUGUUUGUGGUGAAAUGGACUGAGCUUUUUUUUAAUCUUGUGGCCACCUAGCCAAAUGACAGGCUCCCUGAGCCCACAGGGUCUCACAUCUCCCUGUAGAUGGUUGUACAUCCAACUUCUGGACAUCGUAUUUUUGUUUUUUCUUCAAAAAAAAAAAGUAAUUCCUAAAGACCAAAUACUUUUGAUGGAUCUUAUUACACAACGAAGGCAGAUGCUUAAAAAUAUACAUUUAUGAUGCAAUCCACAGAAGCUGAUGGAAGCAGUUGGUGCAAAUGAAUCGCAGCUGAACUCAAUCAUACUGGAACUCAUUUUUAUUAAGGAGAUAUUGACUCUCUUCUUCAAAAAACAGAGAGAACCCAUCUCCCUCUUCUCUUAGCCUAUAGAAUAUAUUUUUGUGUGUCACUGAUGUUUGCAACAAAGGAUGCUGGGAAUACUGGAACAUUCCUAGUUGGGGAGAGGUGGUGGUGGGGGCAAGGUGAGAAAGGAGAGUCAGCUUGUGAGUGAUUCCAUUUGGGCGAUCUGCCCUUCAGCGAGCGCCUCUUCGAGACAGUACCUUCUGUAUCCUCGUAGGCCGAGGACAAGUAGAAGAUUUCUCUCUCUCUUUUCCUUCUCCCUUUUCUUAGUUGCUUCUUGAUGGCCUGUCUGUGGUGGAUCAACUCAGAGUUUAGGGAGCUAUUUAUUUGUGGGAGAAGAGAUGCUCGGGGCAUAGCUGUUUAAGGGAGGGAAAGAGGAUGGAGCAUGUUAAAUGAAAGUUGGUGGAAGGGGCCAGAGUCUCCAUUCCUAGAAGUGUCCAUUUUGGCUCUCAGUAGAGAGGGCAGUGUGAUGCAUCUAGUUUUGGGUUGCUGACUUAAGUGGCGAGUGCCCAGAUUGGGCAACAAAUUGCAGAGUUCGCUGACCAGGUAGAAAGCUUGGUGGCGCGAGAAGUGGGAGGGAGGGAAGGCCAUUUGUAAAUACUGCCCAAAUCCUCCCAUGCAGGCAAGGGAAUGAAACGAUGAUCGGUCACUAUUUACAUGUGCCUUUUCUUUGCCACUGUGAAAUAGCUUGGUGCUCUGGCUAGGUUUGGGCGCAGAGGGUCAGCCCCUAGACCACAGAGAUUUUGGCACAGAGUUCCCUCCUGCUCUCCCUCUCUCUGUUCCUUGCAUUGAGAUCAGGAUCCUGCUCUUGCCCUGGGUGGAGUCACAAGAUGGGGAAGGGGUGAUGCAGGCAGCUGUGUGGGGGAGAGCAGGAACUAACCUGUCAGCCACUAAAGGCUCACGGGUGGGAGGAAGGAGAGAAAGGACUGCGGGGUGAGGAUUACAGUGUGCACCUCAAGGGGUUGCUUCUUCAGGGAAUAAGAGGAAUUUAGGGUCUGCUUACAGAUCUUUGCCUUUAACCUGCAAAGUAGCGGUAAAAUGGGCAAUAACAAUUGCUCUGGGCACCAUAUUGGUGACGUUGGACGGCAGCCUCUCCCUCCCUCCCUCCCAGCUCUGCCUCUGCCCAGCAGCUGGAAGGAACUCGGUUGCUCUUGGCCUCUCCCCUCCUCCCGUUGCACAAGAGGGAAGGUCCACAGUAGAAGAGUCUUAUUGCCUCUGCUUUGCUCCAGCCCAGUUCUUCUUACCUUUUGCGGGAGUGGGAGGGAUGAAAGAUGUAAAUCAACACCCUCCAAGGGGGUCGCGCAACAUUUUCUAGUAUAAAACACUAUUUCCUUUUUUAAUCCAGAUGAACCAGAACUACCCUUCCCCACUGACCAAUUCGAUGCUGUAGAAGAAACUAAUAACUCACUGACUCUUGUUUUUGCUUUUCCUCUGCACCCCUGCUGUCCUUUGAGUCCUGUGCUCAUUCUGCAAUGCUUUUAAAAUGAAAUGAUUUUUAUAUAAAUAAAGUUUUAAAGUGUGUAUUUGUUAAAAUGGAA